rnacentral:rRNA from 1 species
UACGAAGGGUGCAAGCGUUAAUCGGAAUUACUGGGCGUAAAGGGUGCGUAGGCGGGUGUUUAAGUCUGUCGUGAAAUCCCCGGGCUCAACCUGGGAAUGGCGAUGGAUACUGGACAGCUAGAGUGUGUCAGAGGAUGGUGGAAUUCCCGGUGUAGCGGUGAAAUGCGUAGAGAUCGGGAGGAACAUCAGUGGCGAAGGCGGCCAUCUGGGACAACACUGACGCUGAAGCACGAAAGCGUGGGGAGCAAACAGG